UUUUUUUUUUAGCUUUUUUUUUUUUAGCUUGUACCAUUGCUUAGAAUGAGCAUCUUAGGAUGGUAUCUGAGAGACCCUGACCAAGCUAAAGUGAUCACUGUAGAUGAAGGACUAAACAAUACAACUAAUCAAAUGUCAAAGCUGCCUUAUACAUUUAAAUAAUUACUUUUUACAAUGUUGCCUUUGGAAGUUGCAAAAAAAACUGUACUUCCAAACAAUUCAUAUAUUCUUGGUCACUGUAAAUUGAAAGCCAGCUGGAAUGUGAUAUGUAUUACUGUUGUGGUUAUAUCAAAGCCCAAUGGAAUCAUUACCACCGAUUGCUGUAAUUCCCUCUACUUUAUAAUUUUGGGGUAAAAAAAUAGAAACUAGAUACUACAGCCAUACACCCCUUCUCAAACUCUCAGGUCCACCACUACUGGACUAUUGCUGGUUCUGGUGCCUGAUAGGCAUCCAUCCAUCUAUCUCUCUAUUAUUAUUAUUAUUAUUAAUAUUAUUAUUAUUAUUAUUAUUAUUAUUAUUAUUAUUAUUACAGUGAGGGAAAUAAAUAUUGAAAGCGUCAACAUUUGUUUUUAAUAAAUGCAUUUCCAAUGAGGCUAUUCACAUGAAAUUUUCACCAGACAUCAGUAUUAACUCAGGAAAUCCAGAAAUAUAAAGAAUUCACAACAUUAAAGUCCAUAAAUAAAGUUAUGUGUAAUUAAGUGGAAUGACACAGGAAAAAACUAUAGAACAUGCUAAGACAAAGCAGUUCUCCAAGGCAAGGAACCAGCUGAAGUCCAUAAGUAAUUAUACCUCCUAUCUGUGGAAAUUAAUAUCAGCUGAGUUGGUAAAUUUAUGGUCUAUAAAGGGGCUUUUCAUUAACAAGGUAGUAGUUAUGUCAUACACUUUCUGUCAAACUGUCAAUCAAAGUAGUGUGUGCUGAUUUAUGACCCUUUGUGAUUCCCUGGCCGACAUUUCUGUAGGUAACCUAAUUUAUGACUAGGGUGGGGGUAACCUAUAGACUGUAUCAGGGGGUCAUUCUGGCACCUGUGUGUCUGGAUCUGGGUGUGUGUGGGGGGGAGGGAAUCCACAUUAAAUGUGUUUAUGUUAAUGAGACUGUAGUGAAAACCGGUUCCUCCCAGUAUUAAUCACACACAAUGUAUGCCUUUUUUGUGGUGUAAGAGAAUGUUUGUUUCUGAAAUUACUUUUUGUGGUAUUGUUUUAUUUGAAGCUUAAGGAUAGUUUGGGUGAAAUACAUCUGAAAAUGCAUGAUGUUUGAAUGUAUACAUAUAUGAGCAGAAUAUUUGUUUGUGAAAUAAAUGAAAACAAAUUGAUUAUGUUUUUUGGGAGACCGGUUUGACUUUGAAUAAAAAUUUAGAAGGUAAAACGUUUUUAAAAAAGAAUCUGCUUAAAAGAAUUGCGCGUAUUACAUGUCUUCCAAACAUAACCCUUUAGGAGGUAAAAAUUAUUAAAAGAGCUGUUUAAAAGAAUCUGUAUUACAUGACUUCGAAACAUAACCCUUAGGAGUUAACAGUUAACGUUUAGGAGGUAAAAUGUUUAAAGUGUUGGCCAAAAGAAUCGCCCGUUUUGGUUUAAACUAGAAGACAAGUUUUUGUAAGAUGUCUUCCAAUCGCUGGAUAGAGCAGUAAUGAUGUUAAAAACAAUUAAUCUCUCUCUCUCUCUCUCUCUCUCUCUCUCUCUCUCUCUCUCUCUCUCUCUCUCUCUCUCCCUCUCUACACUCUGCCCAUCCACACAUGUGUUUCACCAGCAGACAGUUUCUGUAGAUCGCAUAAAUUUAUGACUCUAGCAGACUGUUCUGCAGGCAAGUUUUGUUUUAUUUUGAGGAAUACUUCAAAGAGGAGAUGGCUGGCUAUCGUAACAGUAAGUGUUGUUUUAUUAUUAUUAUGCAUUAUUAAGAAUGUUUAUUUAUUUAUAAAGAAUCAUGGGGCUGUUGUAAUGGUUAAACAGGUCUCUAACGCUGCAUGUGAUGCUGACAUUAUGUGUAUUACCUACAUGUACCUUGUCUAGUACCUACAUGUUUUAUUAUUUAUACGUAUUCGUGCCUAUGUAUGAUGUGUUGUGUAUGUGUUGAACGAUUAUGCUUUUAUUUUACAUAAAUGAUCGAACUCAGCCGGGUCAGGUCAGAUAACCCCGUGCUCAGAUUGUCAAAUCUUGUAAACAAGCUCGACGCUCCAGAGUUCAAAAAUCAUGUUGUGGGUGCUAGCGAUCGAUGUAUAGCAACAAAGCCUAGAAGGAAUAAAAUCGCUCAGAUCCAUGCUCCUAUGGCCGAUUGUUUGAGAGACAUAGGCUUAGUGAUACCUACAACGCCUGAAUACAAAUGGUCAAGACGUUCCCCCGGGUCGGCAGACGAGUCAGUUGUGAAUGGACGGGCGGCCACUGAACCGCACGAUAUAAACUCCGUUUUGAGAUGGCUUCACGAGUUCUUAGAAUCAUGGGACGCUUGUGCAAUUUCCCCAGCUCAUGGAGAAACGCUUGCCAGUGAAAUGUCUGACUGCGGGAGACAACUACUCUAAGUCUCUAUCUUCAAACCAAUAGGUUACAGUUGCGAAUCACCGGCUGUUAUAGACAACAGAGCCUUAUUUGAACUGCUGGAAACCAGGUUCAAGAGAGUCGAGGGGCGUAUUGCAGACCUUGAAAAGUGUUUUGCUGUCGUUGAGGAGCGUCUAGAGGCAUUGAGAAGAAGCAGAGUGUUUAUAAUCAAUAUGUGAUGGAUACUUUAUAACGACACACCAUCUCGCAGAAACAUAUUAUAGCUACACAGAGACUCCAUGCUGGGGAGAAACGCAGCAUUGGUCAGGACCAAAACCUGAUGACGGAGUUGUUAAAGCAGGUUGUACACACGCUUAAAAAAAAGAUCGGGUGAGUUGUACAAUACAUUUUCAUACAUCUGUGUGUUGCUUGUAUUAAUUGCUGAUUCGACUCUGUUUAUUAUAUGUGGUAUUUUUACUAGAUUUGUUUAAAUUUUACAAUCUUUUUAAAAAUGUCAGCGCGUUGGAGGAAACAGUUUGUAAUCAGGGAGCUGUAAUUAAAUCUAGAAAAUGCAACGACGAUGGUUUGUGUUCCUUUGAACAGCGCGGUAACACAGAAACAUUACAGUAUUUAAUUCGGACAAUGGAGGAUCUGAAUAGAUCUGAGUCUACCACUGAUACAUUGUUGGAAUUAUUAAACAUGGUGAGAUCAAUGGCAGACAAUCAAGCAGAAUCAAUUCCAACUUCGUCAUUAGACCAUGCUUCAAAUUCACAACAGGUGGGAAUGGGAUCAGACAGCGAAUCAUAUCAUAGGUUUAAUCCUUCGGAGCCAAAUUUUGGGUGAUCCGCAUCGGCUAUUUAUUCUAUUGUAAGAGAGUGUGGUGAUAUUGGGGGUUAUACAGUGGUACCGAGACUCAGAUUUAAAAGUUUGGAGAUACGGCGUUGUAUAAAUAUGCGUGUGAUAACCGCCCCAGGCCUGGCUGCGUACAGUAUAUUUCUCUAUGAUAUUAUGGAUGAAAUAGUGUCGUUUUCCAGAAUGGGGGUUUGAUCAACAUAACAUUGAGAGGCCCUGGUCUACCCUCUGAUGUUAAUGCUGUCUUGUCACCUGACAACAAUUACGAUGUGUGCGUGUUCACAAACCAGAUUGAGAACAUUAUGCAAAGCAAUUCUAAUGUGCGGGCUGAUGACAGUCUGGAUCUAAAUGUGUCUAUAGCUCGUGGUAAACACGGUGGUGCUUAUCGAAAGAUACGUGAUCUAGCCCAUAACGAAGUGAUUGCCAGAAACCGAAUGAAUCUGUUCUGUACCAACAAUAUAUCUAACAAUCUGUGUUUUGCAGUCUGUCUGGCCCAUUUUCUACAUCCACAAACGUCGUGUACUGAUCUAGAACCAAUAGCCGAGGCUCUGCAGAACACUGCGGGGUAUUCAGUGCAGCAAAAGAAAGGGUUUAAUGACAUCACAUGGUUUGAACGGUUGUUACACAUUAAAAUAGUGGUGU